rnacentral:sRNA from 1 species
CGGAGGACUGUGGGCUAACUUGAGGCUCCAGCACACUCUCAUAAGAUCACUGCACAGUUAACUUCUAAAUCACUGAGAACAAUGCUAGAAGAUCAAUAGAAUGCACCAAACUCUGCAGCAUAAUUUGAAGUAGAACACAUCAGCGUGAGCCACAGGAAGUCCGGUCUCACUGUUGAUCAGAAACCGUUCUGUCUCAAGAAGCUCCUUUUGUCAGGAAUUUUGUCGUGACUGGAAAACACAGAAAAUGAAUUCACCGUGUGUCUAGAAGAGUAGAAUUAAAGCCAAAACCAGAAAGAGAACAUAUCAUACUUAAAGAUGGUCCGCUUCGUGCCGCCACUGUGAGGGCUUGAGUAACGUGCUUCUCACCAAAAUGAGACAGUAUGCCAGUCAAGAGGGACCUUCAAGUCCUGAUUUGGUGGAAACGACAAUCAAAGACGCCCAACCUUGCCCCUGCCUCAGAAGACACAGUAUUUCCCCUGUUAUGUAUUUGGAGGUUCUGUCAUUGAGGUGAACUGAUCUAUCAAAAAUUCGUGAAACAAGGAUAAAGACUGAAAAUGAAGAAUGGGAGCCUCUCAGACCGUGCUGUGGCUUUGAAGCCACAUAUCUGAAUAUGCGAUCUCUUGCUUUCCCACUCAGGAACCCUGGAGAGCACUGUUAUCUGACUGAUUAUGAAUGCACGUAUUUUCACAAGAAUAUGCAAUCUUAACUGCCUCAGCGCAGGACAUUGAAGUGACGAAGUACCAAAUUAAAGAUUGUUCUUUUUUUGUCUGGAAUUCACUCCAGCAAGAAAUUGAACAAGGAGAUUUGGAAUCCAAAAACAGUAGACCACCUCAUGAGACAUUAUUAAUUAUUGGUGGAGCCCGGCCUUCUGGUUUCUUAUCUCCCCAUAACCCAGUGCUCCCAUCCCCUGAAAGGAAUUUACUGUUUAUUAAUGCCUUCCGCAACUUUGGUAUCCGGGCAAGCGCAGGAAGCUUCCUACCAAAGUUACACAGAUGUCAUCUGAGUGUGAGCCACAGUUGUCAGUCUUUCCAAUGGACUUGAAAUCAGUAGGGGAAAAUGUAUAGGGGCGGGAAGAUGGCUCAAAGAGUAAAGUACCGAAUUACAUAUGAGGAUGUACAGAAUUACGUAUGAACAUUUGAGUCUGGAUUCUCAACAUCCAUGUAUAGUGCCGGGACUAUAGCAUGUGCCAGGGAAACAGACACAGGUUACCUGAGGCUUACCCCGAGGCCAAAACUAGCUAAAUCUGUUUAGAUCCAGGUUCAGUCAAAAGCCCAAAAUAGGAAAUAAUCAAGGUAGAUACCAGACAUUAACCUUUUGCCUUCAUAUACAGCUACCCGCAUGUGCAUGUAAACUACUGCAUACACACUCACAUGUACAUACAUACAUACAUACAAACAUACAUACAUACAUACAUACAUACAUACAUACAUGCUGUCUUUGGAGUUCCUGGAGCUUUAACAUUCUAUUCAUAUCUGCACUAGUCCACCAAUUUCUAAAUGUCAGCUGGGUCUUAGUUCACUGGCACCAUACAACCUAAGGGCUUAGAGACUUAGGUUAUAGACCCCUGACAUUUGUCAGAGUCUGAGGACAUGCACAGUCCUUUUAAAAAAAAAAAAAAAGCUGAUCCUAUUAAGAUUUUCUGUUAGGACUACAAAACCCUUAGCCCAUUUUCUGAAUAAAACUCAUCUGUUCGAUCAUUAAAAUAAAUGGAAUAGGCUUCAACAGAUAACCGUGAAGGUGUGUUUUGUGGAGGUUGCAAAAGCUUUGACUUUAAGCUGGGCAUGGCGGUACACACCUGGCAUGCUAGAACUCUGAACACGGAGAACGGAAGAUUGUGAAUUUGAAGCCAGCCUAAGCUACAUAGUCAAACCGUGUCUUUUAAAGACAGAAUUGUUACUUUGAAGGUAGAAGUUUCCAGAUAGGGUUCAGGACUUGC